rnacentral:rRNA from 1 species
GACAGAGGGUGCAAACGUUGUUCGGAAUUACUGGGCGUAAAGCGCGUGUAGGCGGUUUGGUAAGUCGGAUGUGAAAGCCCCGGGCUCAACCCGGGAAGUGCACUCGAUACUACCAGGCUAGAGUAUCGGAGAGGUUGGUGGAAUUCUCGGUGUAGAGGUGAAAUUCGUAGAUAUCGAGAGGAACACCGGUGGCGAAGGCGGCCAACUGGACGAAUACUGACGCUGAGACUCGAAAGCGUGGGGAGCAAACAGG